rnacentral:ncRNA from 1 species
UUGUAAAAAAGCUACACCUGUCGUGAGACGGGGCCAGAAAGCCAUGGGUCUUGCAUACUCUAUUUAUAGAUGUGGAUGAAAAGAUCGCCAGGUCACACAA